rnacentral:lncRNA from 10 species
GCUGUCUCAAAAAAAAAACACACACACACACAAAACAACAAAAAAACAAAUUGUUCAAGGCGAGCCUGGUGUGCCAAGCCCUUGUUCUGGGCACUUGGCUUAUAUUAUCUCCCUUAAUCCUUCCCACCACCCCAAGUGCUAGAUACUGGGAUUAAUUUAGUUGAGCUGUAAUACAUCAAUACUGUGUGAAAUGCUAUGCAACAUCUAAAAGGAAGACAGGUGGAGCUUUUAUUUAUUUUUUAUUUUAUUUAUUUUUUGAGACGCAGUCUCGCUGCAUUACCCAACCUGGAGUGCAGUGGCACAAUCACAGCUCACUGUAGCCUCAACCUCCUGGGUUCAAACAAUCCUCCCACCUCAGCCUCUCAAGUAGCUGGGACUACAGGCUUACACCACCAAGCUUGGCUAAUUUUUUUUUUUUUUUAAGAGAUGGUGUUUUGCUAAGUUGCCCAC